AAAAAAGGAGCCGCAUAGAGAAGAGGAAAGAUAAAAACAGGUUUCCCCAUUGUUAGGAUGAUUGGAGGGGAGAUGGUGAGCUUCAUUUGUAACCCUAUAUCAAGGACAAGGGCCUAACCACAGGAAUAAAAUAGAAUCC